UUUAACCCGUUCUAACCUUUUGAAAAUCACUUUCGAUGACCGUAAGCACGCUUUCGGCACCGGAGCAACCUUCAGAGAUCAGACGGGUAGCCCCCGAAGGGGUAUCCGUUGCAAUCCUCAAUCCCAAUCGUCACAUCUACCAGAGUCUAUAACACUCCACCGAAGGGAAGCCACAUUACCCCAAUUAUUUGAUGACAAUCAAAAUUGAUGCUAACCUGCCAGACGAGGAAGUGCACACGGAGGAGAUGAGAGACUCACACCACCAAGUUGAUUCCUCGCUAGCAUGACU
rnacentral:rRNA from 1 species